rnacentral:rRNA from 1 species
AACGAACGCUGGCGGCAUGCCUAAUACAUGCAAGUCGAACGAGAUCUUCGGAUCUAGUGGCGCACGGGUGCGUAACGCGUGGGAAUCUGCCCUUGGGUUCGGAAUACCUUCUGGAAACGGAAGCUAAUACCGGAUGAUGACGUAAGUCCAAAGAUUUAUCGCCCAAGGAUGAGCCCGCGUAGGAUUAGGUAGUUGGUAAGGUAAAGGCUCACCAAGCCGACGAUCCUUAGCUGGUCUGAGAGGAUGAUCAGCCACACUGGGACUAAGACACGGCCCAGACUCCUACGGGAGGCAGCAGUAGGGAAUAUUGGACAAUGGGCGGAAGCCUGAUCCAGCAAUGCCGCGUGAGUGAUGAAGGCCUUAGGGUUGUAAAGCUCUUUUACCCGGGAUGAUAAUGACAGUACCGGGAGAAUAAGCUCCGGCUAACUCCGUG